rnacentral:lncRNA from 1 species
GGCCCCACCCCCAGUGCAGGGUGGGGGUGGGAAAUGAGGCUAUAAAGAGGGGCUGGGAGCUGAGAGCCCAUCACUGGGGAUCUGGUGUGAGCCUCUGUCAGUGAGUGACGGCACCUCCUGCUCCAGCGCCAUGGAAACCCUGCAUCCCAGAGCCAGCCUGUGGCUUCUAGUGCUGGGUACUGCUGUCCUGCUGGACCUGGGCACCCAGCCAGUCUGGGGCAUUGAGGACAACAGCCUGCUGCUCACGGGCAUCAAUGAAGAAGCGCUGACUAGGUUCCUCAUACACGUCAAGAGGGGCAUGAAUGAUACCCCCCAGUAUGCAGUGGCCACGCUGCUGCCACGCGCGGCCUGCCAGCAACCAGCCCUCGCAGAGCAGGAAGGUGCCACCAUCCAGAAGAGGCUGCGUGAUGUCCGGGCCAAGGGAAAACUGGAUCGAGACUUCUACAUCAACCAGGACAACUUCAUGGUGGCCAUUUUGCAGAAGGGCGAGUAUACGACCUGGCACGCGGAGGCUGUGCUGGUGGGCACCAUCAACACACCUGACUUCAGAGGCAACUUCCUGGAAAGGUUCCUGGCCACCAAAAAGCAGCAGUAUCCACCCAACAACAGCUGCUUCAUCUUCUUCUCCCUGAUCUCUCCCUGCCUAGAUUAUUGCCUGAACCCCAACAGCAGCACAUACAUCUUGUCAGACCUGGAGCGCAGCUUGCAGGGCUUCGAUUCCCGUUUCCAAGCCUUUGCUUUCAAGUAUGCUUACGAGGAGGAUAAACCCAAGGGCAAAAAGCAGGUGUGGGAAGCCUGGCGCCAGAUCCCCAUGCCCCUGUUCCGCUGCUUCUUCUACCCUCCCGCCAGCUGCAUGAGAUGCAACAACAAGACCCUAGAUAAUAGGUGCUUUGAUGAAAUCUGGCAAUUUUCCGCCAAAGACUAUUUCGACUAACACCCCAUGGAGGAUGGAGGGGGGGCACUCGCCCUGGCUCUGCCACACUCGGCUUCUCUUGCUUUGCUGGGCUCUUUGCCCUCUGAGAGGCGCUGCUUCCGCAAGAGGAGGGUACAACAUCCCCUCUUCCUUCCCCAGUAUCCUGGGUCCACACCCACCCAUCUCGGGGCUGGAGUCAGUCUCUGCCCAGCCAGCAGGAGCCAGGGUUGUAAGGAUGCAGGAGAGCCAGGCUCAGCUACUUUUGCCAUGGCCUGAUGGAACUGGAUUCCCAACCUGGGCAGCAGCGUCCCUUAUGGUAAUGCUGGCCCUUCUAUAGAGCUCCCCAACCUAAAUCCCCAAAGCUAGGUUGGGGCAGUAGCCCCAGUCUACAACAGCAGAAACAGAACAGAGGAGGGCAAGGACCCACCCAAAGUCACACAGAAGUCAGUGGCUGAGUCAGGGGAAACAAAAUAAACAGGAGUUUUGGCCCA